GUUGAAAUGGGAAAUUUAAAUGUUCCUUGUGAGGACAGAGAGGCCUUGAAAAUCCCUGGAAAUGUCCAAGGCCGGGAUCAUGGAAGUCCCAGAUCCUGGGGUGACCCUGGAUCUUCAUUGUCCCAUCCAGGGAAUGGCUUUGGGCUGAACAAGGUCAGGUUUAGAUGGGAAAUUUAAACAAGAAAGUUUAAAUGGGAAAUUUAAACAGGAAAGUUUAGAUGGGAAAUUUAAACAAGAAAGUUGAAAUGGGAAAUUUAAAUGUUCCUUGUGAGGACAGCGAGGCCUUGAAAAUCCCUGGAAAUGUCCAAGGCCGGGAUCAUGGC